GAUGAACGCUGGCGGCGUGCCUAAUACAUGCAAGUCGAGCGAACAGACGAGGAGCUUGCUCCUCUGACGUUAGCGGCGGACGGGUGAGUAACACGUGGAUAACCUACCUAUAAGACUGGGAUAACUUCGGGAAACCGGAGCUAAUACCGGAUAAUAUAUUGAACCGCAUGGUUCAAUAGUGAAAGACGGUUUUGCUGUCACUUAUAGAUGGAUCCGCGCCGCAUUAGCUAGUUGGUAAGGUAACGGCUUACCAAGGCAACGAUGCGUAGCCGACCUGAGAGGGUGAUCGGCCACACUGGAACGGAGACAGGGUCCAGACUCCUACGGGAGGCAGCAGUAGGGAAUCUUCCGCAAUGGGCGAAAGCCUGACGGAGCAACGCCGCGUGAGUGAUGAAGGUCUUCGGAUCGUAAAACUCUGUUAUUAGGGAAGAACAAAUGUGUAAGUAACUAUGCACGUCUUGACGGUACCUAAUCAGAAAGCCACGGCUAACUACGUG
rnacentral:rRNA from 1 species